GUUUGAAGUCAUCUAACUUAAGAUUUUGAUUCGUCUCAGAAGUCUGCAAAAUUAGAGUCGUAAAAUAUUUUCAUUUUACGAACUCUGACGAUUUCCAGAAUAUAUUGGAGCAAUAGAUGAAGCAUAUUCUAUAAAAAGAGUCUUGAAGGAGAAAAUGGAGAAUUGUAUCAAAACAGAAAAGGAUGUUUUUUUUUUGAACUGCCAAAUAUUUAAAGGUAUUUAUUUAUUGCUCAAAAGAAUUUUUAACUUUAUCCAGAGUCGUUUGUUGCUUGGCCUUAGUUAAAUCACUCAUAUUGAGUAACAACUUUAAGAUUUAGAGUUGACUCAAAAUAGAAAAGAAAGAGAUAACUAUUUUUGUGUAUUUGGAUUUUUUUAUAUUUAAAUUUAUUACUUAACAAAUAUAUAUUACUUAAAGAUAAGUUUUUAAGUAUAUCUAUAAUGUAAAUGUAU